rnacentral:lncRNA from 1 species
UUCACAUGUUUCUUAAUCUUCUGGUGAAGACUCGAUGGAUGAAAUAUUUGAAACACUCUAAUUUUCAUCCUGCUUUGAUCAAAGGCUUCCCAAGUCAUCACUAGAUGAGAUCACAUAGGAUGUUCUCCUCUUACUAGGAGUGAUCGAUUCCUUGUUGACCUACUCACAACCUCCAUACACACUUUACCAUAUCCAAAGCAUCCCACACAUCUUAGAAAGUCAUGUUAGGGUAUUAACCAAAAUACAGAUUCAUAUGCAUAAGGUACCAUAGUGGUCUCAGAUCUAAGGAUCACUUGCACAACUUUUAUUAGAGAACCAUCUUUUGACAUGUAAGACUCCAUAAGAUGUUUAUUCUAUGGAUCAAUUCAGUAAACAUUCUCUAAUGAGCACCCACAUCCUUGUAUUGGUGUCUCCACAAGUGAUUGUGACAUCCUCUCCAUCGAGCAUACAUAGAAUCUGCCAGUCUUAUCGGAACAUUGAUUCCUGACUUAAUGAUUCAACGAUUGAGAAUAUUUUAGAUUAGAGUUUUAGGGUUUUAGAUCUCACUGGCAUGAUCUCAUCAUGGUCUUAAAAUUAUUGUCCUAAUCUAUGGGGUUCAUCACAAUCUUUAAAUAAGAUACAACAAGAUGAUGAAACAAAAUGUCUCAUUUUAUUCUUAAAUAAAUAGUCAAAUAUAUGAGCUGGAAGAUAUUAUAGAAAAGUCUCUAUCGCAUCAACUAUGCGAUUGGCUUGCAGGACACUAAUUUUUCAAUCUUCCACUUGCACUAAAGUCAAUUACUCUUAUAUUUAAUAUCGAUACAAUCAAGAUGGCAAUCAAAUUACUGCUGAGGUAAAUCGCGGUUAGUAGGGAGUGUCCCCAAAGAUUUAAGGGCAAGUUAGUAAACUCAUCAUGGACUGGAUCAUAUUCAAUAGGAUUUUAUUCCUCUCCGAUAUCUUGUUGAGCUGAGGCAUAUUAGGAGAAAUCUAUUGUGAGACUAUACCGUUGUCCUUGAGAUAAUUCAGAAAAUUUUCACUAAGGUAUUCUCCUCGAUCUGAUCGAAGAACUUUAAGAGAUUUUUCUGUUUGUUUCUCCACUUCAUUUCUGAAUUCUUUAAACUUUUCAAAAGCCUUAUAGAUUUAUCUCAUAAGAAACAUAUAUCUAUAUCAUGAAAGAUCAUCAGUAAAGAUGAAGUAGCUGUAAUCACCCUUGGCUUGUACAUCAAAUGGGCCACACAUGUCAGUGAGUACUGGCGCAAGUAUCUCAAUGGUCCUUUCCUCAUGUCCUAUAAAAGGUAACUUGGCUAUGUUUUUUUGAAGGCAAGAUUCACAUACUGAUACGACUCAGAAUUAAAUGAACUUAAGAGACCAUCUUUUUUCAGUUUAUUUAUCCUAUCCUCUCCAAUAUGAUCAAUCCUAAGGUGCCACAUACUUAUGGUUAACAUUAUCUCUAGGUUGUUUAUGACCUGUGGCACUACUGAUUAUCUGCUCGUUUACAUUCACAUGCGCAUCAACAUGCAAGUGAUAAAGACUUAAUUAAAAGACAACGUGCAAUCAAUUUAUUUCUUAAAUAAAUCGAACAGAUCUUUAUUAAAAUUAAAAAUAAAAUCAUCCUAUGUUAAUACAGAAAUGAAAAUCAAAUUUCGGCUAGCUACAGGGAUACAGUAAUAGUUUUUUAAAACUAAUCUAUCAGAUGAUAAUCGAAGAGGAUAAGUAUCGACGGUUUCUGUAGCAACUCUUGUUCCAUUGCCGACUCGUAAGAUCAUCUCAUCAUUCCUCAACUCUUUACUUUCCAUUAGAUCUUGCAUUGAAGUACAUAUAUGAGCACUCGAAUCAGAGUUUAAUAUCCAACUAGAAGUAGAGAAAAUUAUAAGGUUAGAUUCAACGAGUAUGUUAGACACACCUUCUGAAGGUUUGUCUCCCUUGGUCUUUAGGCUCUUAAGAUAUAGCGGACAAUUUCUCUUCCAAUGGCCGUUCUUCUAAUAGUGGAAACACUUUCCUUUGUUUGUAGCCUUCUUUGGAGUGUCCUUCUUUAGCUUUUUCUCUUUCUUCUGCUUCUUUGCAGGCUUAUUCCUUUUCUUCCAUGAAGACUUUCUUUUGGAAGAAUGUUCCUGCUCCACAGCAAGAACGGAGUCUCUUGAACUCUUCAAGAUUUCUUCUGUAGUAACUAAUAUGUUGACAAGUUCAGGUAAAGUGCAGUCUAACUUGUUCAUAUGGUAAUUUACAAUAAAUUGCCUAUAUGAACUAGUCAAAUAUUGGAAGAUCAAAUCCACUUGCAAUUUCUUCAGCAUUAUAAGGCCGAGCUACUCAAGCUCUUCGAGGUCCUUGAUCAUUAUCAGAUAAUGCUCGUGGACCGACUGUCUUUCGCGUAUCUUGGAGUUGAAGAGUCUCUUCGAAACUUCAAAACAUACGGAUCGGCUCUGCUCACCAUACAAUUUUUAUAGGUGAGUGAUCAUAGCCCGAUAGUUGGCAUAUGCUCGUGCUGGCUUUGCAACUUGUUUGACAUAGAAGCCAGCACAUAGCACUUUAUCCUGUUGUCAUCAUCCGUCCAUUUAUCUAAUGCAGAUCUCUGUUUUGCAGUAGGAUGGUUUGGUAAGGGAGGGGAGGGUCCUAGUCGAGAACAUAUCCUAACUUUUUGAAUAUUAAGACAAUCUUGAGAUUUCUAAGCUAGUCUUUGAAAAUUGAUUCCGGUCAAUUGGUUGGACUCUAGGAUACGGGUUAAAAGAUUUGAAGCUGACAUGGUUAAACUGUGAAGAGUAAAGAUUCUAGUUAGACAUUUGUACUCAGGUUUAAAAUUUGUUCUAGCAACUUUAAGAAACAAAUAGGCUCCCACUAUUUUCUCGGAUCUCUCACACCCCCUAUGGAGGUGCGAAAACUUCUAUGCGACUAGGAUUCCUAGUGGAUACUGCAGUCCUACUGAUAUGCGAGCUCCUCACCGUGCCCGAUUAUUAGGCCAUGCUAUAUCGGUAAGUGGACGACUAUUGUCUAAUGCUUCUCAAGCAUGUUGCAGCGCUUAGUCUCUAAGUCAUGAAACCUCACCAUGUCCGGUUAUUGGAGUUGAAGAAAAAAAAUUCGAUCAAGAUUAGAUCACCAGGGUGCAUCUGAACAUAUUCCUAUUCUAAAAUUUUCAUAACCUUUAUGAUUACCUAAUAUACAGCGGAUAUGGGAUCAAGAUACUCAGGGGUUUCUUGAAUCUGAUGGCUUGCGAGAUCUGAAAAUACAGAUCUUCUAUUUCGCACACACGCCAGGCACCGUAGGAAGGAUGAUCCUUGGGACAUCACUCCUUCAGAAAGGAAGCAGGGAAGGGAGGAGAUCUGAUCUCUACAUGAUGGAUGUUUAGGAUGGAAGUUCUCCAUGCCUAGAAGUGGAGCGCCAAGAAGAAAGGACGCCUCCUUUCUUGGUCGCACAAAAUCCACAGUUGUUCUCUCUUUUGUUUUGUCGCACAAACCAAGACAUCACUUUUGGUGAUUAGAGGGCCUCCCUUUGAAUAGAUGACGCCAUUGAUGAAGACCCAAUUAGUUAGAACUCUUAAUUCAAACCAGAUUUGAAUUAGUUUCUAACCUUAUCCAACUAGGAGAGCCAAAGGGAAUUGGAUGCCAACCUUUCACGUGAACUCCCUUCACAUGCGCACAUCUGAUAUGUGGCAAAAAAACUAGCGCUUUCGUUUUCCUUGGUCGGCCACUUAAUGAGAGAGAGUCCUAAGGUUUUGGGACUAUGGAUCUAAUCCUAUUUAGCUCAAAUUUGACUCGAUUCAAAUUCGAUUUGAAGUUGAUUCGGAUGAAACUCGAAGAGACUGUCAAUCCUAAUCUAAUUAGGAUUCAAAUCCAAAUCUAACUUGGAUUUUUAACUCAAUUAAAUCAAGCUCAAUUAAAUUAGAUCUAAUCUAAAAUAAUCAGCAUUUGAAUUCAAUCUCUCAUGCAUCCCUUGGAUCAUUGAUCUGAUCAUUAUCAUCAUCGGAAUUAAAUCUGCAUCUCAUGUCCAGUGCUAGCUAGACAUAGUCAAUUGUUUAAUUCUGUAUGACUUCUAACUUAAUUCUUAAUUAAGCUAAUCUAUUUAUUCAAUCAAGUCAUGUACUUCUAAAUUGAACACAGAUAUAAGAUCAAUUCUUUCCUACGUUGUUUUUGUGCGUGACUCUAUAGGUUCGAACACUGAGCCAGUACUCUAAGAACUAUUUUCUGUACUAAUUGAAGUUAUCAUCUAGCAAUGGUUCCCGACGUUCGGAUAGAUCGAAUAUUUGCAAAGCAACAUUCACAAAUCUUAGAAAUGGUUACCGCAUAAUUCAUCUCUUUGAUCCUAAAUGUUUAGGACGAUCUAGGAUUUAAUUGUCAACUCUGGAUGAGUCAUCCAUAUUGUAUUUCAAUCUUUCAAAUUCAUCACAUGGAUUAUCUUGAUCAAGAUUUUGUUAAAUUAAAAUACAGUGAUGCAUUAACUCCUGUAAUCCAAAAGGAUCUAUUUCAUCUUGAUCUACACUCAGACUUCUUAAAUACUUGACUAUAUCUAGUAGCUUUUCGUCACCGUAUUAGAAAUACAGAUAAUUCAGCAUCAAAGUACAGUGAGUUGCUUGUAAGUCACCGUGGUGAUCUCAGAUCGGAGGGAUACUUAUGCCCAUAUUCUUCGCAAGCUGCUCUUGAUAGUAGAGCGCUCCACAGGUGAGUCACUGUUUAGUGACAAUGUACUCUUACAUCUCACCUGUAUGCCAUACCAGUGUCUCUAUACUCUUUGGUUACGAGGACAACUAACCUAUAUGGCACAAUGAUCUAUACUCGAUAAGCGUCAUCGUCUUUUAAUGACAUAUCAUUUGGUUGCAAAUAUAUUUGAGAACUAUUCGAUAAAUCCUCCUUUAUGGAUUGUCUUUAUAGUUCUAAGGACUUCAUCACAAUAUAAGAGUUCAAAUAAGGAAGAUGCACAAUUUAUGAUGAAAAUGUCAAAUAACUUUUAUUAAUUCAUAAUUUAUAUACAAAUUACAAAGAGUAUAAUUGUUUAAAUGAUUGGCUUUAGGAUAUAUUUUCUAACGACUCCUAUUUGGACUAAAGUCAAUCGGUACAGUAGCUGAUACUCAUCUUCCGUUUGUGUUCAUCGAACUCUUUGAUUCUGAGGGUUUUAGUAAAUGGGUCGACCAAGUUCUUCUUUUCGUCGAUCUUCUGAAGCUCGACGUUAUCUCGAUCUACGAUCUCAGACAAGAUGGUAGCGACACAGAAUAUGUUUGGUUCUCUGGUAAGAUUUCAGUUCUUUAGCUUGAGCUAUAGCUCUAGUGUUAUCGCAAUACAGCAGAACAGGACCAUCAACAGAGGGGCCACUCCAAGCUUGUUGAUGAACUUUUGCAAUCAGACCGUUUUCUAGGCAGCAUCGGAUAUUGCAAUAUACUCUACCUUGCAUACUGAAUCGGCUACUGUGUACUGCUCG